rnacentral:lncRNA from 1 species
UUUUUUUUUUUUUUUUUUGGUUGGAUGAUUUCCAUUUAUUUUAUGCUUGUGUACUUUUCUUUUUAGCUUUUGUGAAUAUAAUGUUUGGGUUUUUGUUGUUGUUGUUGUUGUUGUUUCUGUCUUUUUGCUAUUUCUUUGGGCCGCUCCCGCGGCAUAUGGAGGUUGCCAGGCUAGGGGUCGAAUCGGAGCUGUAGCGUAGCUGCCGGCCUACACAACAGCCACAGCAACGCGGGAUUCGAGCCGCGUCUGCAACCUACACCACAGCUCCCGGCAACGCCGGAUCGUUAACCCACUGAGCAAGGGCAGGGACCGAACCCACAACCUCAUGGUUCCUAGUCGGAUUCGUUAACCACUGUGCCACGACGGGAACUCCUAAUGUUUGGUUUUGAUUUGUGGUUGCCCUGUUAUUUAAGAAUGUUAACCCCUUCCUGUAUCUGCUUGCUUUGGCCUGAUAGUCAUAUAGGUUCGAGCACAUUAUUUAAAAAAAAAAAAGAGUCUCGAUUUUCCUACUUUCCUUCCCCACAUUCUAUGAUUUGAAGACCUUUUUUAACAUCUCUGUGUUUGUCCUUUUGCAGUUCCUUGUGUUUGCUGUCACGUUUUCAUAGGCGUUUGUCCUUUUAGAUCUGUAUACUGCUUUAUUUAAGAGAUUGCUUUCCAAUUGUGAUUUCCUCCAUCCUACUUCUUCUUGCUUCUUUUUUGUUUAGAGAAGCCCUUUCACUGUUUCUUUUAGACUGAGUUUAGUAUUGCUGUACCCUUUUAGCUUUUGUUUGUUGGAGAAAUUCUUUAUUUCUCCUAUUUUAAAGGAUAUUCUUGCUGGGUAGAGUAUUCUAGGCUGUAGAUUUUUCCCCUUUAGAACUUUGAAUAUAUCUUGCCACUGUCUUCUGGCCUGUAGUGUCUCUAUAGAGAAAUCAGCUGAUAGCCUAAUGGGGGUUCUCUUAGAAUUAAUGCUUUGUGUUUCUCUUGCAGUCUGUUUCAUUGUUUUCUGCUUCAGGUGAAUUCUCCUCUUCUUUUAACUGGGAAUGGUUCCUGAGCUUCUUCAUUUUGCUUAUAUUUUUCUUUUUCUGAGUUUAGGGAAACCAAACUGUAGUCUGGGAGCAUUUUGCAGUGGCAGCAUCAGGGCAGGUGUGUUCCGAGGGGAGUGACAGCAAUGACAGGUGGCGCUUGGUUGCAGUGCCCUCUUUUUUUGCUGACCUCUGAGGUGAUUGGAGCCAUAGGUGGAGCCUGUUCACAGACCCCUAGUGGUGGCGGGCCACACCUCCCUCUGGUUUCUGAGAUGACUGCUGCAGUUUGUCCCCACCACCUGUAGAUCACACAAGAGGCACCACAUUGCACUUAGUCCCCAGCUGCCCUUAGCCCACAUAAGAAGUGCCUGGUCUCCCAUAGCCUGAGCCAGUGGCCUCUCGCCACCUGUAGGCUGUGCCAGAGGUGCCCUGCCCUCUGAGAGCCUGUGCGUGUGCAGGAAGAUUCCUGGGGUGAUCCACCCCUCCUCCUCUCACCCUCUCCAGCAAUGGCACCUUGCUUCUCCUGCAGGCACAGACAUCCUCCCAGGUUCCCUCAGGCUGUGGCACUGCACUCCCCAGCCCAUGGCACACCACUCCUUAGCCCCUCAGGCUGUUCCCAUACAGCCAACCCUAGUCCUCUCCCUGGAAAUGACCUCUGGAGCCUGAUUCUCCAUGCCCAGCCCUGACUGAGCAUCUCAGGCUGUGGUGUCCAGGGCGGUGGUGCAGAUGAUCUGUGUGGCUCUCACUCUGCUUUGCCCUCCUCAGUCCAGCUGCUGUGCUUUUCUCAGUAACUAUGAGGUCCCUCAUCUCAACUGAUCUCCCUGUUGGUUAUGUGGCUUCCCAGGGUAUGGGUUCCUUUUCUCUAUCACAGCUCCCUCUUGGGAAUGCUAGACCCAUCCUGAUUUCUUUUCUAUUUCUUUCUUUCUACCCAGUUAUGUGGAAGGUAUUUUGCCCUUUUUGGAGGUUUAAGGUCUUCUGCCAGCAUUGAGUAGAUGUUCUAUACAAACUGUUCAACAUGUAGAUGUGUUUUUUGAUGUGUUUGUGGGAGAAGGUAAGCUCAACAUCUUACUCCUCUGCCAUCUCUAGCCUUCUUCCUGCUUAUCCAUUCUAAAUGUAAGAGUUUGUAUCUACUAACCUCAAACUCCCAGUCCAUCCCCCUCCCUCUUAUUCCUUUUCUGAUGCUCUUUGUACACUUGAGUUUCUGAUCCAUAUCCUUUUCCUUCUCUCUAAAAAACUUUUUAACUUUUCUUUCAAGGCACUGGUGACAAAUUCCCUAAACUUUUGUUUGUUUGAGAAGGUAUUUCUACUUCACUUUUGGAGGAUAACUUUACUGAAUAUAGGAUACUAGGUUGGUGGAUAUUUUUUUUUCCACACUUUAAAAAGUUUACUCCACUCUCUGCCUGUUUCCAUAGUUUCUAAAGAAGAGCUCAGUGUGAUUCUAAUCUUAUUCUUCAGUGAUUUUCCAAGUACUUGUUCUCUCAGUUAUUGAGAAAGUAAUAUUGAAAUCUCAAAAUAACUGCGAAUUUUUAAAUUUUAGUUCUCCUAGUUUUUUUUUCCCUACACAUGUGUUAGAUGCUCUGUUAUUAGGAGCAUAUAUGUUCUUGGUUUUUUUUUUGUUUUGUUUUGUUUGUUUUUUAAUGUCAUAUGGAUGAACUGAGCCUUUUAACAUUACAAAAUGUCCCUCUUUUCUCUGGGAAUAUUCCUCUUCCUAAAGACUACUUUCCUCGUCCUAAAGACUCCUAUUAUCAUAGACAUCUAUGAUAUCUUAUAUCAGUGUUUGUGAUACAGUCACAGUUUAUUAAAGCAAAAGUACAUUUUCAGAGAGAGAGAGAGAGAGGACUCAGGUGCACACAGGUUAAAAAGAGCCUGAUGUACUCUGCAGUAGUCUUUAUACUCCGCAUGUUGACCUGAGUAGAGGCCCAAUUUGAUCUUCUGAUUUGUCCUGGGCAGGAAACCUUAUUUGCAUAGGGAACAGGUUAUAUGGUAGCGGGUUGAGGAAUGGGUGACGUGGCUUCUCUGGCAGGGAGCGAGCAACCCAGGCUGGUCAAGGUGGGGGAAGGGGCAUUACAGUGAGACAUGGUCAGAGGCUUUGUGAUUUCAUUUCCUUGAAGGCGACUUGAAGCCUAUAACACUUGUGUAUCUCUUUCCCCAUCCUUUAAUUUUUGUUUGUGUCUUUCUUUGUUUCUAAACUAAGGUUUUUGCAGCUCGCAUUUAAUUUGGCCUUAUUUUUUCUUGCCUUUUAGAAUGACUUAUAAGUAUUUUGUUGAAAGCCCAGCAUGCUGUAUCUGGUAAUAAUCACUGAGGUAAAUAGGCCUUUAGCGUGAAUUUUCUUUUUUCUUUUUAGGGCCACACCUGAGGCAUAUGGAGGUUCCCAGGCUAGGGUCUGAAUCGCAGCUGUAGCUGCCGUCCUACACCACAGGCAUAGCAACGCAGGAUCUGAGCCGUAUCUGUGACCUACACCAUAGCUCAUGGCAACACCAGAUCUUAAACCCACUGAGUGAGGCCAGGGAUCAAACCUGUGUCCUCAUGGAUCCUAGUCGGGUUUGUUAACCGCUGAGCCAUGAAGGGAACCCCCCAGUGUGAAGUUUCAUGGUAAUCUCUCUAUGAGUUGAAUUGUGUUUAGUGCUUCCUAUAGAUGUAAGUUCCAGAGGCUUCAAAUUCUUCUGGUGUCCUUGUUUUUAACCUUUCAUCUUAUCUUUGGAUUUCUCUAGGAAUUAAUUCCUAAAUAGAGUGUAUGCCUUGCAGCGCCUCAGCUGUGAUGCCCUGCCACUAUGUUGUAGCCUCGUGGACUUGGUAGUAAGGUGUGGAUGCAGGGAAGCAUUUUAUAAACUUAGGAUUAAAUUUUAGGUUUUUAGUGGACCCGUGUCCUUGGGCUGUGACCUUCACAAGUGUUUCUUAGGUUCCUGCCUCUCCCCACCCCCCGCUUAAGCAAGGAAGGCUAGAGGGGCUGAAGUUUGGUAAUUGUCCUUCCUCCUAGCUGAGGUGCAGCUCUGAUCAAUUCUUUUCCCUGCUGGUUGACCUUUGUUGUGAAGGUGCUCUGAGAGUAUUUCAA